rnacentral:rRNA from 1 species
UAUUGGGAUUCGAUUAAGCCAUGCGAGUCGAGAGGGUUCGGCCCUCGGCAGACUGCUCAGUAACACGUGGGUAAUCUACCCUAAGGUGGAGAAUAACCUCGGGAAACUGAGAAUAAUACUCCAUAGGUCUAGAAUGCUGGAAUGCCCCUAGACUAAAAGUUCCGACGCCUUAGGAUGAAUCUGCGGACUAUCAGGUUGUAGUCAGGGUAAAGACCUGACUAGCCUACGACGGAUACGGGUUGUGAGAGCAAUAACCCGGAGACGAUAUCUGAGACACGAUAUCGGGCCCUACGGGGCGCAGCAGGCGCGAAACCUUCACACUGUGUGAAAACACGAUGAGGGAAUCCCAAGUGCUUGCACGUAAGUGUAAGCUGUUUUUAUGUCUAAAAAGCAUAGAGAGUAAGGGCUGGGUAAGACGGGUGCCAGCCGCCGCGGUAAUACCUGCAGCUCAAGUGGUGACCACUAUUAUUGGGCCUAAAACGUCCGUAGCCUGCUUGAUAAAUGCCUGGGUAAAUCGUAUAGCUCAACUAUACGAAUUCUGGGUAGACUGUCAAGCUUGAGACUGGGAGAAGUUAGAGGUACUCCUGGGGUAGAGGUGAAAUUCUGUAAUCCUAGGGGGACCACCAGUGGCGAAAGCGUCUGACUAGAACGGGUCUGACGGUGAGGGACGAAGCCCUGGGGCGCGAACCGGAUUAGAUACCCGGGUAGUCCAGGGUGUAAACGCUGCUUGCUUGAUGUUAGUCGGGCUCCGAGCCCGAUUAGUGUCGGAGAGAAGUUGUUAAGCAAGCUGCCUGGGAAGUACGGCCGCAAGACUGAAACUUAAAGGAAUUGGCGGGGGAGCACAGCAACGGGUGGAGCGUGCGGUUUAAUUGGAUUCAACGCCGGAAAGCUCUCCGGAGGCGACGGUUAUAUGAAAGUCAGGCUGAUGACCUUACUCGAUUUUCCGAGAGGUGGUGCAUGGCCGCCGUCAGUUCGUACCGUAAGGCGUUCUGUUAAGUCAGACAACGAGCGAGACCCUCACCUCUAGUUGCCAACGGGUCCCACUGGGAUGCCGGGCACUCUAGGGGGACCGCUGUCGCUAAGGCAGGGGAAGGAGAGGGCGACGGUAGGUCCGUAUGCCCCGAAUCUCCCGGGCUACACGCGGGCUACAAUGCGCAGGACAGAGAGAUGCGCUCCCGAAAGGGAAAGCUAAACCCUAAACCUGCGCUCAGUUCGGAUCGAGGGCUGAAACUCGCCCUCGUGAAGCUGGAAUCCCUAGUAAUUGCGUGCCAACAUCGCGCGGUGAAUACGUCCCUGCU